AGAAGUAAAAAGACUCUGAAUAACAAAGAAUUACAGUGGGAAAUGCAUGAUUGUUUGAAAUAGUUACUUAAUGCCAAGGUUGAAAUAUGCAAAAUUAUAUGAUAAAGAAUUUAGAAGAAGUAAAAAGACUCUGAAUAACAAAGAAUUACAGUGGGAAAUACAUGAUUGUUUGAAAUAGUUACUUAAUGCCAAGGUUGAAAUAUGCAAAUAUCUGCAGGAAAAGCCAAGAUGGAAAAAAAAGUUCUCUGAGCACAAAGAAAC
rnacentral:lncRNA from 1 species